CUGUCCGUUACACUUCUCAACGCUUCUGGAACAAUGAGGGUCUAGUUUACCAGAUCUUCUCAGAUGAGGAAACUGAGGCAUGCAGAGUGAAAAAAUGUUGCCCACAGUCACCCAACAGAGGCGCAAUUCACACCGGCAGUUCGACUUUAAGUCAGACCCACUUUAAUCCAACAGCUUCUGAGUCCUCUCAGGGGAAACUGAGGCCCAUAGAAGAGAAAGAAAGAUCAGUUUCUCAGGCUUAGUCCAUCAUCCACUGCGCCUCUGUCCGGCAGGGAUGGGGACCUCUAGUGACUCAGGCUGAACCAAACACGCUAGCGACUCUGUUCUGUUAUGUCAGGAACGACUAGGAUGUCAAGGUAUCCCUGCCGAAGACCAUGUUUUCCCAUGGACUGAGUGUACAUGGGACCUGCUCACCCUACAGCCCAGUGCGCACGACCUCAGCGCGGGAGCCCAGCGCGCUUUGGGAUAGUUUGGCAGUGUGUUGUCACUGUACAGCUAAAACCCCUCUCUGCCCGCUCUGGAAUGAGGCGCCGUAGCACCCGGGCGCGCAAACCCAAGCGGCUGUGGCUUACCUGUCGCAGCGCGGGUCUGCAGGACAGCGGAGAGCAGCGCGGAGAUGAUGGAGAGCAGCCACCUCGGGCGCCGGCCCUGCGCGGUCCUCCUGCAAGAAGCGGUGGCAGAGAAGGUGAGGCGGCGGCUAGGAGGUAAGCACCCGAGACCCAGCUCCUUGAAAUCUAAAGACAAAGAUCCCCUUGGGUCUUCUCUCAUGUGGUGACUGGAAACAGAACCUGGCCGAUCGUACUGGUUUACUUCUCCUUCACCUGGAAAAGGCAAGCAAGAUUGUUGUGUUGAAAUUUGGCCUGAAGGUGGGAGUUAUGGCCUAAGACCGGAGAUAUCUCAGGCCUAGGAGCUGAGAGGGAGCGGGAGAGGGUCCCCUGUGGGUGUGGGACUGAUGGGGCAGGAAGCCAAGUGAGGCAUUCCACCUCCUGUCAGACAGUGCUGCGAGGGCUUAAGUGAUUUCCUUCCAUUCAAUGUGGAGUUGUAGAAAUAGCCAAAAGGAAGCGUCAUGUCAUACCCCAGCUAGUCUAAAUUGUUUACCACGGUUCAGGCCAAUCUGCAAGACUGGGACGUGUGGAGACUGGGGAUUUAAUGUCCUGAAUUCUCCAGAACUUGACUAAAUGAGUAGACUGUCCAUUUUCCUAUAAUCCAGCCAAAUGUUCCAGGAGGCUCUGUCUGCAAGGGCAUUCUUCAGACUGUCUCCAGCAGCUGGAAGGGCACUGGAACCUGGAAGGAGCACCCCAGACCUGGUCCGAGAAAAGGUUACCAAGACUCAGUGCACGGCAUUCUGAACUGGACUUUCUUCAGUAUGUGGGUAGGAUGUGUCUUUGGUAUCUCACAGGAGAUACACAAAGCCUGCCUUGUGCAUCUGAUUAAUGGACAGAAAAGGCAGAGUUCACUAGCCUGCUAGAAGUGAACUUAUUAAAGUAGCCAGAGAAGAGGGCUGCCUCUUGGAUGACCAGGAGAAAACCACAACUGUUCUGCAUACGUCUGCUGCCCAGGAGGGGCUUGUACUCUGAGGAGACCUCAGCAGUGUCUAUGCAGAGGAGGCUUAGAAAACGUGUUGUUCAGCAUGUCACAUAAUGAUGGAUUUGAAAGUCUGACAAGCCAGACAGGCAAGAGAAAACAGGAGAGAGGGUGCAUAAGCAAACACCCAGUGCCCUGUCAAAUGUGUUCCUACCUCCUCUCUCUUGUCAUUUAUGUGCAUAGUGGCCAUUGUUCCUUGGCUGCACCUACAUCUCUUUACCUGAAUGCUUUCUCUGGCCCUGGAGCCUAUUCUGUCUACAAGCAUGAUAGGAUUAAAUUCCCCCUUCCAAUUUUUUAGCCAAUGGAAAAUGGCUAAUACUUCUUUUUUUCUUCUAGAUGCUGUGUUUCAAAAACAGUAAUUUCUUAACCUUCCUCUCACUCUUGGUCUCUUCCUUCUCCCCCCCCCCACCCCCUUACAGGAAAUACUCCUGGUGCUGGGCACACAGCAGGUGAGCACUCUUCCCCUUGAGCUACACCUCCAGCCACAUUUUGUGGAAUUUCUCAAGUCAUUUGAAAUGUUCUCUCACAAUGCACACAGCUAAUGCCUCUAAUGGGCUCUUCCUUUUUCCCUACCACAGGACUUCACCCCUGUUCUCUAAGAUGAUACUCACUGUACAGUGGCACCUAAGACUUGCCCCAGAUGCUGUUGUCUGGGGAGCCUAGGAUGAGAGAAGGGAAUUUCUCUUCCACACUUUCACACAUUCAUGUGCCUGACCCAGUAUCUGAGGUGUCUAUCACUCACUGCUCACAGGCUCCGGUUAGUAUGAUGUCAUCAACAUAGGAGAGGGACAAGCACUACAGAGGUGCAUUCCUAUGGGUUACAUGAUAGCGCACACUGAAGAGUCCAUGUACCUGCAGGAUAAAACACUAUAAUACAUUCCCAUCUUUACUAUGUGAAAGCACACUUGGAUCCUUCCCUGAGACCCCACUUGCAGGAUCAUCCUGCAACUCACUGCCAAAGGCUGUGCUGAUCAGUUCCAGGAAAUACACUGCAUCUGCCUUGCAGCUACCAUUGAUGCUACCAUCUGGCAAAGCUCAGGGUGAGUUGCUAUCGUAUGCCACGGUCCAUUUGGAUUUUUCCAGGAACUUGGCACACCUUCUCCUUUUAAGUCCUGGUGCUGCUACUGCUGCUGCCCUCAGUACUUUCUGGGGUCUGGAUGGCUUCUGCUUUUCUAUUGCAAAGUGAGAAAGAAGUCUCAGGAACGCCCAGCUGACUUUUCCUGCAGAAGUCAAGUUGCUGAUGUAAAGGCUCUGCCGGAAGCUCAGUGUACAGGGGUACUUGAGGUUAGGCCCCAACGGUACAGGAAACACAGGUAAACAAACCAUGGGAGCAGGUAGGCAGCCUCCUGUGUCCUCUAUUGCUUUAUACCAAGGCCCCUUCUUCAACUCCCAUCUCCAGCUUCGUGGGUGGUUUACUGUAACCAGUGAGCAAGGGAAGGGGAGAACUGAGCUGUGUUGCAGAUAAAUGAGGGUGCUGUGCAGGUCCUCAUGGGGUGUAGACAUACAACUGUAUCUCCCUCCAUAGUGACCGUGAAGGAACCCUCCCUCUUGGUACACCCUUAGGUUGUGUGCUGGCCUACCUCCCUGAAGGAGGGAGGAGUGGCCUUAGAGAGAGGCCUGAGAAGUUGGUCUUGGAUGAUGGCCAGCAGUCUGAAAGACAAGGAUGGCUGAUUCAGGACAGGAGGUCCCAGGGAGGGCCGAGGGGAUGUUAGCAGCUCCGGUAUCUGAGAUAUAAGUCCGAGGACUGGAAUUAAAAACCACAUAAACACCCAGUGUGGUGUGAGCACCUAUAACCCCAGCACAGAGACUGGUGGAUCCUGGGGGCUUGUUGGAGAGCCCGACUACAAGCAAUGGCAAAUGGUGAGAUCUAUGUUCAGUGGGGGAUUCUGUCUCAAAACAUAAGGAACACUCAAAGUUGAUCUCUGGUCUCCACACAAGCAAGCAUCCAUUCAGAUACCACCAGCCCCCACCCCCACCACACACACAAGAAAACAUAGGGAAGAGGAAUGUGGGCUGGCCUCCAUAUGCCCGAAGCCUAUGCAUCUCACACUGCUCACUACAGACCACCUACUACAGAGAAGACUCUGCAACCAGUGUCCUGAGGAGGUCAGUCAGUCUUCCUUCUUGUCCAGCGGUAUGGAGCCCUCCCCUCUGAAGCAUGUCUAGUCACUGACGAUGCUGAUUGUCUAUCCCACUGGCCACAGAUGCCCACACUGAGAUCUCCAUGACACCCCUCAGAAAGCCCAGCCAUCACCCUGGUAACAGACAGAUGGAGGGAGUCUUCCUCACCAGGACCAAAACAGCUGACGCUGAUUUGCCGUCCCUGUCUUAAGGAUCUAGGAUUCAGAUGUCCCUCAGUAUUCACAGAGAACUUCUGACACCAGAUACAAAACUGCUUGAGUUUCUCAUAUACAAUGUCAUAAUACUUGCAUAUCUAUGCAACCCUCCUACAUACUUCGUUUAGUUAGUUUUAAAUUUUUACCUUAUUUCCUUCCGUUCCCUUUCCUCCCCCCAACUCCUCCCAAGACCUCUCCUUAUUCUCUCUCAAAUCCAUGGUCUAAAUUUAGUUAUUAUUGCGACCUGUACAUGCAUGUGCUUGCUCUCUCUCUCUCUUGUUCAUGGGAUAUUGGCAAGAAAAGUAUGCACAUAGUACAGUCAGAAUGUCUGGUUUUAACCUGCAUUUGGUUGAAUCCCCAGAUGCAGAGCCCACAGAUAGGAGGACCAAAUAUACUUGGGUCUGAAAAUCAAGGGAGCAUGUUGGGAUUAAGUCUUUUUUUUUCCUUGUCCAGAGAAACAUUGAAAGCCUGGGCUGUCACAGGUCAGGGUGGUGGCAUCCAGCAGAAAAGUUUGUCCAAUGGAAUAGCGCUUCCAUGAAUCUUGAAGCUGUGGCUUGACUAGACCAUUUUGAGUUUCUCAUGACAGUGGACUAACAGGCAAAAAAAUAGAGUGUGUGUUGAUGGGGAGCAGGGGGAGGACAGCUAGGCUCAAUGGGCACCAGGAGCCAUCCUAGCUGCUACUUUGUACAGGCAGAAGACACAUAUAGAUAAAGAGAACAACCUAGACGAUUUCUGGUGCUUCUGGAACUCAGGAUGAUGGCCAGGAGGUCCAAGAGCAGUCAAAGCAAGCAUGAGACUAAACUUCAAAAGGAUGAAGAAGUCUGGACCGUCUCUCCAGGCAAACUGGCCAGAGCAUCUGAAGAGUGGGCUGAGAACAAAGGGAAUCUAGAGUGGGUGAGGAGGAGGAGGAGGCAGCAGGAGGCUCAGCUGGGGAUGGAGUUGCCUUUACUCUCUGGCUUUGCAGAGAUGUCAGUUAGCCGUGGUCUCACAAGGGACUCUGACUACCAGUCUUUCAUCUCUUUUCUUAAAAUAUAUGAAGAACAUUGUGUUCCCAUAAAAUGAAAGGUCCUAUGCAACAGUACAACCAUUCUCUCUUAUCUCUGGGGUACAUUCUAAGACCCCCCCCCCCAGUGGAUGCCUGGAAUUGCAGAUGGAUCAGAACCCCACACGCACCAUUUAAAAAAAAACAACAUAUAUAUGACUUUGAUAAAAUGUACUAUAUGGAUUAGGCACGGUAAAAGAGUCAAAAGCAUGAAAUAAAGAUAAAUGAGAGCAGUCACAUCAACAUGGCCAAUAAAAGCCUGUGGAUGUAGCCUUCCCUCUCUCCCUCACCUUGCUGUAACCCUCCUCCUCCUCCUCCUCCUCACUCUCUCUGCCCUGCCCCCUCCCUCUCCACUGCGCUCUCCUUAAUACAUACUCCAUCCUUCUCUUGUGAUGACAUGGAAUGAUGCAAUGUCUCGUUUUGACAGGAAGUGAGGUAGAUGGUGUGCACAUGGUAGUGUGAAAUAGAAGCCAAGGAAUUAUCCAUCUAUAUUUUAGGGCCACAGUCAACUGCAGGUAUCUGAAACUAUGGAAAUUACAACCACAGAGGUGGGGACUUCUGUUUAAGACCAAUAUCUGUUCUUGACUGGGAACAACUUUGUGCAGCUCACAGGUGGACUGUACAACCCAGGGCACAUCUCUGGCCUCUCCAGCUUCCCUGAGCACCCUCUUUUAUCAUUUCCUGCCCCCAGGUGGCCAUUUGCUGUGGCCACUGUAUAGCCUUGGCUACUGAAGUCACCGCAGUAUCCACCAUUUGCCAUGCUCACAACUUGACAGCGCCUUAACUCUCAACCACUUCUCCUUCCUGCCACAGGACUUCAUGGAGCCGGAAGUGUGGGAUGCUGUGGGGCUCAUUUGUUGUGCACACAUGAGCCCCUUGCAAAGGCACAGGAAAUAAUAUGUGGACAACUUUGAACAAUGGCAAGCAGAAACAAUGGGUGAAUAAAUAUUUUCCCCUUCCUCUCCCGGAUGAGACCCGAGAAGCAGCUUCUUUAAAAGGCACAAGGAAGACAAGCCAGUUUCUACCAGAUGCUCAUUUUCUCUUUCCUCUGCCCCUCCAUUCCCAAGAAUUCUUCCGGAACCGACAACCUUGUGACUUUGGUAGGUCUACCAAACACAGGCAUGCUAGGACACUGGAGUCUUAUGGCACUGAUGGGGACAGAAGCUCUGUAUCUUGGCCAAAAUAACAGAACAAGCACACACUGAUGAGCUACAACCAGGACCCAGAAGCAAUAAGACUAUGCUAUUAGGAACUAUAGAAUGUCUAUAACUUACUAGUCACAGAGGCCAGCAUCCAAUGUAAACACAAAAAUACUGGCCCCUGGGAACUUGCUUAAAUAUUGAAGAUGACUUUGGUCUUCCAAAAGCCACAAAAUAGAGGAAGGUGAUGUUUGUUUCCAAGAGGAUAGUGGGGAACUCUACCCAGUCUGUGAUGUAUGAGCAAUGUAAGGUAUCCAAAAAUUGGACUACAAACUUUUAAAUUCAAAUAUAGUCCCUUAUAGGCUGUAUGACCUUAGGAAAGUUACUAGUUCUCUCUACUAUUCAAAUCUCAUGAAUUGGAAAAAGUAGUCAUAAUAAUAGAAAGUGCCUGGAGCCCCUAAUUAAGUGAUUCAGACACAUAGUAAUUCGGUGAGUAUUUUUGUGUAUCAGCCGUAUCACUGAAUACUUUGGUCUCUCCAAUCUAAUAAUAGGGUUGGGUUCAGAGUCAUAGAAUAACAACUAGAGCAGAAUAUCCAGAGACCUUCAAGACCAGCUCCACUGGCCUCCGGGGUGGGGGGUGGGGGUAAUGACUUGCCCAGCGUCACAGUUAAUCCAAAGUCCUGACUGCUCCCCUUUGCCCCUCUCUCUGCCCAGUCCUCUCACACGCGGCAUCAAGGUCACUGCGCAUCAGAUCUGGGAAUGCACGCUUUGUGCCUUUAAGAUGUCCCAAGGUUCUACGCGCUCAGUUAAACCCAGCCAGAGAGGGUUCUGCUCUAACAAACAGCACUCGACAGCCAUGGUUGAUUUGUUUUCUAGCCUGUGCAGUGCCUGCCUCAGAACCACUUUGUGGAAGGAAGGUUAAGAAGUCCAGCUCCCCAGUCUCUGUGUAGUCAGAGCCCGAGCUUCAUGCUGGGCUUUCGAGUUGGAGCUAAGCAUCUCCUGAGGCCUCGUGUGCACAGUCACGGAGAGUCUAGAGUCACACUGCAGCACCUGCUGUUGAACUCUGUCCUAGAAUCACUCACAUGGGAAUACACUUAGGUUUCAAAAACUGUCUCAACAAUGAUCUAUUUACUGUUUCCAGCCUAGACAUGCUGCUAAUACUGCUCCUAGAUAAACUUCAUCACCCACCCACCUUGGGAAGAACAAGAAAAAAUGCAUUUUUGUUGGAUUAAGGCUUUUAGGAUCUAAGAAAGCUACCUAGGACUAAAAGAGACCUUGUACGUUGUUCGCAAGUCAAAUGGACGCUUAGCUGUGCAGGUCUGCUUAAUAGAGAACUAGUGAGACUGAGGAAUCUCCUUGCUGUCAUUGGACAGCAGCCUGUGUGAUAUGAUGCAAACAGAGCUCCAUAGCUUCAGGCUCCUUGCCCUCCAUUCUACCUGGCUCCCCCAUCGAUACACAGACAAUGGCUGCCACUCUUUGAAUGCUAUGCACAAGAUGUGGCAAAUAUGAAUAUGCUAGAUGGGACUACUAUUUUUGUGUCAAGUAUAAGUGUUGUCAAAUGUGUCCUUGAACUAAGCCAGAAAGGGGAACAGACAUUGGUCCAAAGUGAUGGGUAUUUAUAAAUGACAUAGCCUCACCUUGCUUUUGAGAGUGGGCAGUGACAUGCCAUCUCUUCUGCCCACACCUUGUCUGACACUAUCUCUUGUCUCUGGCCAUUAUAACCUGAAUCCUCUGGGUACCACUGGGAAGAGGUCCCUGGGAUUGGCAGCAGGCUAUAGCUUCUGUACUGGCUAGUUUUCUGUCAACUUGACACAGCUGGAGUUAUCACAGAGAAAGGAGCUUCGGUUGAGGAAAUGCCUCCAUGAGAUCCAGCUGUAAGGCAUUUUCUCAAUUAAUGAUCAAGGGGGAAAGGCCCCUUGUGGGUGGGACCAUCUCUGGGCUGAUAGUCUUGGUUCUAUAAGAGAGCAGGCUGAGCAAGCCAGAGUGAGCAAGCCAGUAAAGAACAUCCCUCCAUGGCCUCUGCAUCAGCUCCUGCUCCCUGACCUGCUUGAGUUCCAGUCCUGACUUCCCUGGUGAUGAACAGAAAUGUGGAAGUGUAAGCCGAAUAAACCCUUUCCUCCCCAAA